ACACAAACUUGCUCACUGGCUCUGCAUGAUGUAGCAGAAGCAAAGGAAAAGGUUUGUUAAAUUAAACAGGGUAAAAGACAUUUAGUAGCCUUAAAUAUAGCAAGGCGGCUUACUGUAUAGUACACCA